GACGAACGCUGGCGGCGUGCUUAACACAUGCAAGUCGAACGGAAAGGCCCUGCUUUUGUGGGGUGCUCGAGUGGCGAACGGGUGAGUAACACGUGAGUAACCUGCCCUUGACUUUGGUAUAACUUCAGGAAACUGGGGCUAAUACCGGAUAGGAGCUCCUGCUGCAUGGUGGGGGUUGGAAAGUUUCGGCGGUUGGGGAUGGACUCGCGGCUUAUCAGCUUGUUGGUGGGGUAGUGGCUUACCAAGGCUUUGACGGGUAGCCGGCCUGAGAGGGUGACCGGCCACAUUGGGACUGAGAUACGGCCCAGACGCGUACGGGAGGCAGCAGUGGGGAAUAUUGCACAAUGGGCCGAAGCCUGAGGCAGAAACGCCGCGUGCGGGAUGACGGCCUUCGGGUUGUAAACCGCUUUCGCCUGUGACGAAGCGUGAGUGACGGUAAUGGGUAAAGAAGCACCGGCUAACUACGUG
rnacentral:rRNA from 1 species